rnacentral:rRNA from 1 species
CCUACGGGUGGCAGCAGUGAGGAAUAUUGGUCAAUGGACGAGAGUCUGAACCAGCCAAGUAGCGUGAAGGAUGACUGCCCUAUGGGUUGUAAACUUCUUUUAUAUGGGAAUAAAAUGUUCCACGUGUGGGAUUUUGUAUGUACCAUAUGAAUAAGGAUCGGCUAACUCCGUGCCAGCAGCCGCGGUAAUACGGAGGGUCCGAGCGUUAUCCGGAUUUAUUGGGUUUAAAGGGAGCGUAGGUGGAUUGUUAAGUCAGUUGUGAAAGUUUGCGGCUCAACCGUAAAAUUGCAGUUGAAACUGGCAGUCUUGAGUACAGUAGAGGUGGGCGGAAUUCGUGGUGUAGCGGUGAAAUGCUUAGAGAUCACGAAGAACUCCGAUUGCGAAGGCAGUUCACUGGACUGCAACUGACACUGAGGCUCGAAAGUGUGGGUAUCAAACAGGAUUAGAUACCCUAGUAGUC